rnacentral:rRNA from 1 species
UACGAAGGGUGCAAGCGUUACUCGGAAUUACUGGGCGUAAAGCGUGCGUAGGUGGUUUGUUAAGUCUGAUGUGAAAGCCCCGGGCUCAACCUGGGAACAGCGCUUGAGACUGGCACGCUCGAGUUCGGGAGAGGAUGGUGGAAUUCCCAGUGUAGAGGUGAAAUUCGUAGAUAUUGGGAAGAACACCGAUGGCGAAGGCAGCCAUCUGGACCGACACUGACGCUGAGGCGCGAAAGCGUGGGGAGCAAACAGG